CCUUCGGGUUGUAAACCUCUUUUAGCAGGGAAGAAGCCUUCGGGUGACGGUACCUGCAGAAAAAGCGCCGGCUAACUACGUGCCAGCAGCCGCGGUAAUACGUAGGGCGCAAGCGUUAUCCGGAAUUAUUGGGCGUAAAGAGCUCGUAGGCGGUCUGUCGCGUCUGCUGUGAAAACCCGAGGCUCAACCUCGGGCCUGCAGUGGGUACGGGCAGACUAGAGUGCGGUAGGGGAGAUUGGAAUUCCUGGUGUAGCGGUGGAAUGCGCAGAUAUCAGGAGGAACACCGAUGGCGAAGGCAGAUCUCUGGGCCGUAACUGACGCUGAGGAGCGAAAGGGUGGGGAGCAAACAGGCUUAGAUACCCUGGUAGUCCACCCCGUAAACGUUGGGAACUAGUUGUGGGGUCCAUUCCACGGAUUCCGUGACGCAGCUAACGCAUUAAGUUCCCCGCCUGGGGAGUACGGCCGCAAGGCUAAAACUCAAAGGAAUUGACGGGGACCCGCACAAGCGGCGGAGCAUGCGGAUUAAUUCGAUGCAACGCGAAGAACCUUACCAAGGCUUGACAUAUACGAGAACGCUGCAGAAAUGUAGAACUCUUUGGACACUCGUAAACAGGUGGUGCAUGGUUGUCGUCAGCUCGUGUCGUGAGAUGUUGGGUUAAGUCCCGCAACGAGCGCAACCCUCGUUCUAUGUUGCCAGCACGUAAUGGUGGGAACUCAUGGGAUACUGCCGGGGUCAACUCGGAGGAAGGUGGGGAUGACGUCAAAUCAUCAUGCCCCUUAUGUCUUGGGCUUCACGCAUGCUACAAUGGCCGGUACAAAGGGCUGCAAUACC
rnacentral:rRNA from 1 species